GAGUCUGUUCCUGGCUCCACCUGGCUUUCGCCAUAAACUAGAACAAGCGGCCAAGACCCUGGAUGCUGCUGCGGCUUUGCAAGGGUGACUGGCCUCGGUUCAUCCAUCACACUCACGGCUGCUGGAUCCUGAUGGUCUCAGAUCCAACCCCCCGGGGAAGAUGGGCCGGGCAAUCCCUCAUCCAUCCGAGCCUUCGAGCCGGAUGCGGCGAAGGUCUAGUCUGACUCCAGGGACCAGAGAUGGAGGGGAGCUUGCCACAGCCCCCAUGCCAUUCUGCUGAGGGGCACCCCUGCCCGGUGCCAGGCUGACGUCCACACCGUCCUGCUGUUCCCACCAGCUGAGCUGACCGCCUGCCGCCAAGCACUCAGAGAGCUGACUCUCGCCCAUCUUCCCGCAGCCCGGCUGCUGGGGGAGCCAGGCAGGCACCCGCCUAUGUGGGGGAGCAGAGGCAGUGUACCUCUGGCUUGUUUUCUUUCUCUGCUCCCGAGACCUCCACACAGCUGGACAGAAGCUGUGAGAAUGGCACCCAGUCCUGCUCCUGACCAUGAGGACGCGCGCUGUGGCUGCAAGGCUUCUGUGGAAACUCUUGAUCAAGUCAAGGGAAUUCCUUUUAUUUUCUAGAAUGCUUUUUUUUUAUUUUUUAAGAGUUGGCCGGGCACAGUGGCUCACGCCUGUAAUCCCAGCACUUUGGGAGGCCAAGGUGGGCAGAUCACGAGGUCAAGAGAUCAAGAUCAUCUUGGCUAACACGGUGAAACCCCGUCUCUACUAAAAAUACAA